UGAGGAAUAUUGGACAAUGGAUGGAAAUCUGAUCCAGCCAUGCCGCGUGCAGGAAGACGGCCCUAUGGGUUGUAAACUGCUUUUGUAUGGGAGCAAUAAGAUCUACGUGUAGAUUGAUGAGAGUACCAUACGAAUAAGCACCGGCUAACUCCGUGCCAGCAGCCGCGGUAAUACGGAGGGUGCAAGCGUUAUCCGGAUUUAUUGGGUUUAAAGGGUGCGUAGGCGGUUUGAUAAGUCAGCGGUGAAAUAUUUCAGCUUAACUGGAAGGGUGCCGUUGAUACUGUCGAGCUUGAAUUUAGUUGCUGUGGGUGGAAUGUGUGGUGUAGCGGUGAAAUGCAUAGAUAUCACACAGAAUAUCGAUUGCGAAGGCAGCUCACAAAGCUAAUAUUGACGCUGAUGCACGAAAGUGUGGGGAUCAAACAGG
rnacentral:rRNA from 1 species